rnacentral:rRNA from 1 species
GCGUGGGUGGGGGUGGGAGGCGGGGGAAUGUGGGGGGGGCGUGCGUGGUGCGGGAUCAGUGGGGGGAAAGGGCGCGUAGGCGGCGCGAGAAGGCAGUGGUGAAAGCCGGCGGGUCAACUGCGGGUCGGCCACUGAGACGCUCGUGCUGGAGUGUGGGAGAGGCAGAUGGAAUUCCGGGUGUAGCGGUGGAAUGCGUAGAGAUCCGGAAGAACACCGGUGGCGAAGGCGGUCUGCUGGGCCAAGACUGACGCUGAGGCGCGACAGCGUGGGGAGCAAACAGGAUUAGAUACCCGUGUAGUC